ACUCCUACGGGAGGCAGCAGUGGGGAAUAUUGGACAAUGGGCGCAAGCCUGAUCCAGCCAUGCCGCGUGAGUGAUGAAGGCCCUAGGGUUGUAAAGCUCUUUCACCGGAGAAGAUAAUGACGGUAUCCGGAGAAGAAGCCCCGGCUAACUUCGUGCCAGCAGCCGCGGUAAUACGAAGGGGGCUAGCGUUGUUCGGAAUUACUGGGCGUAAAGCGCACGUAGGCGGAUCGAUCAGUCAGGGGUGAAAUCCCAGGGCUCAACCCUGGAACUGCCUUUGAUACUGUCGAUCUGGAGUAUGGAAGAGGUGAGUGGAAUUCCGAGUGUAGAGGUGAAAUUCGUAGAUAUUCGGAGGAACACCAGUGGCGAAGGCGGCUCACUGGUCCAUUACUGACGCUGAGGUGCGAAAGCGUGGGGAGCAAACAGGAUUAGAUACCCCGUGUAGUCCCAUG
rnacentral:rRNA from 1 species